AAGCCAACUCUUCCGCCGGGACCGCCUCCUUUUCACCAGCACCUGUUCAACUGGAACAUCAAGGGUCUGGGGCCCGCCGCCACCCCUCCCUUUGCGUCUAUCUAGUACCUUUCAUCAGGGAAAGGGGGGUUGAAUCCCCGCCCAGGCGGGUGGGGGGAAUAGGGCGGGGGAGAACUUGUCCUUGACCUGGUCUGUGGCGUCAAGAGAUUUACUCCCUUUAAUCCUGGCUAGCCUGGAGUUUGGGGAGGUCCGAGAAGCUGAGGUCUGGGCUGCAACUCCUACCUCCCCUUGCUCCUGUAGGGACUCGGGAAUCCCGGAGGGCUGCCAGGACGAAGAGUCCCUGUCUAAACGGGCGGGGCGGUGGUCUGUCAUUGCCGCGUCUUUGCUUUGGGAAGCAAAGCCUUUGCUGAGUUAGGGGCCCAGGUGGAGCUCAGAAGAGGGAGCCACUCAAGACGGGCGGGAUAGAAGGGCUACGCAGGGGUGGGGGACAGCAAGUGAGCAGUGUCCCCCAACUGCGGCCUGCAGCAGAAGCGGAGAAAGCAGAUGUGUGGAUUUGGACUGAGAUUGUGUCACCAUCAUUUCUGAGUCCCCAGAGCCUGGCCUGGAGCUUGCUACGAGGUGGGUGCUCAGCGACUGUGGAUGAAUAGAUGAAUGAACUCACCAUACAAGCCAUGGAAGGAUAGCAGGAGGAGGGCAAGCCUGAAGUCAUUCCUGGGGAUGUGGAGCAAGGAUGGGAAAAGGGAAGAAACAGGAAAAGGGGAAAAGGCUAAGCUACUGCCAAAAGCACUUGGAUUUAUCAAUUGCUUCUAUGGACCAGGCGCUAAGCAUACAGGUUUCUCAUUUAAGCCUGAUAGCAUCCUCAAGGAGGAAUACUGUCUGCUUGUAUAUUAUCUGGUUCCCCCUAGUUUACUAGAAUGUAAACUUCUGGGCAGUGGCGGUUGUCUGUUUUGCUCACCACUGUGCUCCAACAUUAAAUAGGCUCAUUGAUAGGGGUGCCAGAUGAAAUACAAGAUGUCCAGUUAAAUUUGAAUUAUAGAAAAAGAAUAAUUUUUUAAGUAUAAAUAUGUUCUGUAUUUUUUUUUAUGCUAAAUUUGGCAAUCCUGUACAUAGUAGAUGUUUAAUAAAUAUUGUUGAAUAAACGUUGCUUGAUUACGUGACACCCUGGGGAUGCAAUCAGUAAAUUCCAGACCGUGGGAAAUCUAGAUGAUAGUCUGGUAUCUUCAGCGAAUAAGUU